CAUGCAAGUCGAGGGGCAGCAUGAUUGAAGCUUGCUUCAAUUGAUGGCGACCGGCGCACGGGUGAGUAACGCGUAUCCAACCUUCCGUACACUCAGGGAUAGCCUUUCGAAAGAAAGAUUAAUACCUGAUGGUAUGAUGAGAUUGCAUGAUAGCAUCAUCAAAGAUUUAUCGGUGUACGAUGGGGAUGCGUUCCAUUAGGUAGUAGGCGGGGUAACGGCCCACCUAGCCUACGAUGGAUAGGGGUUCUGAGAGGAAGGUCCCCCACAUUGGAACUGAGACACGGUCCAAACUCCUACGGGAGGCAGCAGUGAGGAAUAUUGGUCAAUGGACGAGAGUCUGAACCAGCCAAGUAGCGUGAAGGAUGAAGGUCCUACGGAUUGUAAACUUCUUUUAUAAGGGAAUAAAACCUCCCACGUGUGGGAGCUUGUAUGUACCUUAUGAAUAAGCAUCGGCUAACUCCGUGCCAGCAGCCGCGGUAAUACGGAGGAUGCGAGCGUUAUCCGGAUUUAUUGGGUUUAAAGGGAGCGCAGACGGGUCGUUAAGUCAGCUGUGAAAGUUUGGGGCUCAACCUUAAAAUUGCAGUUGAUACUGGCGUCCUUGAGUGCGGUUGAGGUGUGCGGAAUUCGUGGUGUAGCGGUGAAAUGCUUAGAUAUCACGAAGAACUCCGAUUGCGAAGGCAGCACACUAAGCCGUAACUGACGUUCAUGCUCGAAAGUGUGGGUAUCAAACAGGAUUAGAUACCCUGGUAGUCCACACGGUAAACGAUGGAUACUCGCUGUUGGCGAUAUACAGUCAGCGGCUUAGCGAAAGCGUUAAGUAUCCCACCUGGGGAGUACGCCGGCAACGGUGAAACUCAAAGGAAUUGACGGGGGCCCGCACAAGCGGAGGAACAUGUGGUUUAAUUCGAUGAUACGCGAGGAACCUUACCCGGGCUUAAAUU
rnacentral:rRNA from 1 species